UCUGUCACUUUUCUUUCCUUUUUUCAAAUUAGAAUGAAGAGGAUUUCCUGCAGGAGGGAAUGGUGAAUAAUAAAGCUCUUCCUGUGGAUCCUGAGAAUGAGGCUUAUGAAAUGCCUCCAGAGGAAGAGUAUCAAAACUAUGAACCUGAAGCAUGAAAAUAUUUUCCUUCCUUUAUUAUCUUCUGAAAUCUACUAACUACUGAAGAUGUCCCAUCCUGUACAAGUGCUGAGUUCCAAUGUGCCCAGUCGUAAACUUUUUUUACAGUUUUUACGGUGUCUUUUGAAGUCUUCCAUUAGCAAUGAUUAGAGUAUCUGUGACUGCGUCCACCUCGUUUCAGCAUUUCCUUCUUGCUGAAAUGAAAACUGAUUGGCAGAAUCAUUGUUGUGCUGUGGAUAUUGUGGUUUCAAGUCUAAAAGUUAAAAAAGAAAACGUUAAAUAAAAACACCUAAGUGUCUACUGCGUAUUUCUAACUGUACGUGUUUUGUUGAAACGCUGUCAGUAGUUUGAUAUUGUUUAUGAUACAAUUUUUAUUUGUUUCCUAUAACUCUUCUUUCUGUGCAGAGAUGACUUAUUGUGAGAGGUUUUUUUAUAUAUGUGUAUGCAUUAUACAUUAAAAAUAAUAAUUGAGCAUGAACUAUGCAUCUAUAAAUAUUAGCUGUUGGAAUUUUAUUGGUUUGUGAUGUGUUUUAUUAAUUCAUGUCUGUAAAUAAUGGUGUUCAACUGAAGAAAAUAAAAUGGAACCCAUUAAAAAUUAAUUCCUAAAAUAGUGGUGAUUUAUAACAACUUCUUUCCUAGAGCCCUUGCUAAAGCAUCCAGGCUGCACUGCUUCCUGUCAAAGCACAAAAUCAGCAAAAGGAAGCCUUGUCAAGCACAAGAAACAUGGUGAAGAGGAAUAUUUGGGCUGGUACCUCAGAGGGAACAAAUUAUUGACAAAAUAGAUUAAUUUGUAGUGCUACUAAAGUUUGUUUUAAGGAGAACCCGAGAGUGAAUAAUACCCUUAAUAAUGGGCUGCAGCAUUAGCAGAAGACUGUGAGGCCUUUGGAAGAUGUCCUGUUUCAAGGUUGUUACAAUACUGGGCUGUAUGUAAGAGUGAUGGAUUAGAUACAGUUAGUUUGUCUUUACAAGUCUUAUUUAGCACAAGUUCUGUCUGGUUUUAGAGAGGAUCAUUUUCAUUGUUAUGUUGUCUGGAUACUUUUCCCUAUAGUGAAAAGACUUAAUUGUGAGACUUUUACUUCUCUCCUGGUUUUAUUUUAGCUCAGGGAUGUUGUCUCUAAUCUGAAUGAUACAGUGGGAUUUUUGUUUAUGGUUCUCUAAUCCUGAAUGGGAUUUUGAGCUUCCCUUACAGUAUUUUCAGUGCUCUGGGGUAUAGAUCUUAAAGCAGGUGAAUAUCAUUGUCUGAUCUUUUAAGUAGAUAAACUUCAAAAGAAAAAAGACAAAAAUUCCUGAGGUGUUGUGCAGCCCAAAGCUAGGUCUCCUCCCUCUAGAAGUGGAUUGCCAUCGGUGGCCAUGUGAGUUCUCUGCAAUGGCAGCCAAAUAAUGUGCUGACCGCUGUAAGCACCUGAUUCUCCUGGAAGUACCACAGCUUGUAAGGUGCAGUAUCUGGAAGAUGUGACAAAAUAUUGAUGAAUUAAGAUGUGGUCCUGAUCACAUGAAAAUCCAUAAUACUUUGGCAUUGAAUCCACUAGAACUAGAACAAGUAGAUACUUUUCAUCAAUAAUGAAACUGCUUAAUGGAGCCUGAAGUUCUGUGCACUUUUAUAGGAAUCUUUCAUGAUAACUUGCAACAACCUUCAAGCAAUUUGCAGUCUCCUUCACAGGUGUUGUGUCAGAAUACUCUCUUGACAUGGACUUCCCUACUGUUAAAAUCCAUCCUGAUGCCUCAGUGAAAGAUGUGUUGAUUGUGUCCAUGGAAAUUUAACAUCAGAUUGGGGCACAAUGUAAGAUACUGCUUUUAUGAUUACUAAUGUUAUCUAAGGAUUCUGUUGUUUUAAUAGAAGGAUUUGUGAAGAAAAGUUCAAUGUUAUAGUGAUUUUUUUUUCUGCUCAGUAUGCUAGCAGGAGCUCAUCCACCAAAAACAUCAGCUGAGAGCAGUCGAAUUCCUGAUACUUCAGGAAAUGGCACUGACAGUAGCAGCCCAAGCAGAAUAUGUUUGUCUACUGUUUAUCCCCUCUACCACGGCCCCACAGAUUUUGCCUACUUUGUUGUUUCUGUAUUAGCAAAUCAAAGUGCACCAUUUGGUUGCCCACAAGUAAGUAGUGCACUUCUUAAAUAAGGGGUGGGGAGUGGUAUGUAAUAAAACAAGUAGUAAGAAUAAAUUAACUUCUGAGACUGGCCUAUUGUUUGAGCAUGUAGGAGUUAAUUAUAUUCUUUCCUAGGUUAACACCAGCAACAAAGUCAGAGCUUUCAGGUCAUUAAAGUGUGCCAUAGGUGACCAGUUAAGUCCUUGUGCCUCUUGCAAACAUGCCCUCAGAUGGCCCCAAAAGUCCAUGUGACCCCUGGUUACAGUGGCAGCACAGUGUGCUGCACUGCUCUGGUAAUAAGCUGCAUUUGAAUGAGGCUCCUUGAGGGCUGUCUGGCCAUACUUUCCAAGUUAAAGGCCCUUCUGGUUUAUGGCCUGAGAUGAAUACCAACACAGAGACUGCAAAUGUCAGAAUUACAUUGGAUGCUAAGGCUGAACUAAAUAGAUACUGCUCUAUUCAGAUGUCUUAAAACAUCUGCUCUGGGCACUAAAAAAUGCUUCUACCAUUGUGGUAACUUUUGCUUAAGUAUUGCCUGCCAGAUAGGAGUAUACCUCAGAGACCUCUUUUCCUUAAAAGCCUAGACUUCGGCUCAAACCGAAAGCAAUCUUCUGUCCUCACAUUAUGAGUUAAUAAUGAGUCUUACCAUAUCUGUCCUCCAGCGGAAAAAGCACAUGUUGCUUUUCUUGUUCUAUUUUGACAACUUUAAUUGGUGGUCUUGUAAUGGUUCCUAAUGAGACAUGCAGUAACCUUGUUUUUGUUACUGUAAAUCAUAGUGUUAAUACUUCUGUUGCUUGCAUUUUAUAUGAUGUCUUUCAAGUUGUGUGUUUGUCUGAGGGAUAAGACAGAGAAAUGCUUUCUUCCUGCCAAGACUUUCCUACAUUCCCUCAAGAAGUUGUAGGCAAUGGAAGGUAAAUUACAGCAUCCCAAAUUCAAGGAAAAGUAACAUGCCUGCAUCUGUUCAGGAGGAAUGGAUUUUACUCAUCCUGGUUUUCAUAUCUGCCAUUCUAGGCUCCAUGAUUCUUACAUGGAAGAAUCUGACAUAGUACGAUCGUCAAUAGCAAUGAACUCAGAGCAGAGACCUCUGCCUCCAAGAACUAGGAGACUCAAAAAUUCAAGGAUGGCUAUUUAAUGGGUGAAAUUAUUCCAGGAGCACAACAGAAGACAGAGAGAAAACAACUGCAGAAACCUGUUUCUAGACUUUCCUAAAGCACUGACUUUUUUUUUUUUUUUUUUCAGAUAGAUGGGGCUCAGUGGAUGGUGCUCCAGGUCUGUGAUCUGUAACUGAGAAUAAAGAGAGUCUUCUUGUUGACUUAA